UUAAUACAGAAAGGCAGAAAAAUAAAUAAAAUGAUUAAAAAUUUUAAUUUUACCAACCUUGAAAGUGGGAGAAAGUCAACCACUUGACUAAAGAUGAAAACGCGUAAUCCAUAAAAAAUAACGAAAAUGUGACCUGAAAGAAGGACUUCAAAAUUAUUAAAUAAAAAAUUUCACAGAAUAUUUUUUUUAUUGAAUUUUCAACUUUUCUCGAUGAGAUGACGACGCUCGUUAUUGAUGAUUUUCAUUAAAAAAUUUUUCCAUGAAGGAAAUUUUCUUUUCACGAAGGCUCAGGAACAAACAGGAUCGAUGUUAAUAAAUGCUCUUAACGACAUUGAGCGACUUUCAGUUUUCACAUGAAAUUGACGAUUAUUUUUGGAAUCCAAUUGAUGUUAAAAUUUCUUGCGAGUCCUGAAAGUCUCCCAAAAGACCCUGAAAAAAUAAAAAGAAGCAUUUUCAGUAUUAAUCGUUCAAGGAAGUUGCUAGAAACUACGAAGCACAUGUCGAUUUUUACUUGAAAAUUUUUCACAAAAAGAAUUUUCUUUAAAAAAUCUUUGGUUUUUGAGACUUUUUCAAGGUCAAUGAAGCUUAAUGAGCCUCGUGUCCUUUGAAAAUUUCUUUAAA